rnacentral:rRNA from 1 species
GUGAGGAAUUUUCCGCAAUGGGCGAAAGCCUGACGGAGCAAUGCCGCGUGAAGGAUGAAGGCCUAUGGGUUGUAAACUUCUUUUCUCAGAAAAGAAUUAUGACGGUAUCUGAGGAAUAAGCAUCGGCUAACUCUGUGCCAGCAGCCGCGGUAAGACAGAGGAUGCAAGCGUUAUCCGGAAUGAUUGGGCGUAAAGCGUCUGUAGGUUGUUUAAAAAGUAUUCUGUCAAAGAUUAGGGCUUAACCCUAGAUAGGCAGAAUAAACUUUUAAGCUAGAGUUUGGUAGAGGCAGAGGGAAUUACCGGUGGAGCGGUGAAAUGCGUAGAUAUCGGGAGGAACACCAAAGGCGAAGGCACUCUGCUGGGCCAAUACUAACACUGAGAGACGAAAGCGAGGGGAGCAAAUGGGAUUAGAAACCCGUGUAGUCC